rnacentral:rRNA from 1 species
CCCUUAGAUGUUCUGGGCCGCACGCGCGCUACACUGAUGCAUUCAACGAGCCUAUCCUUGACCGACAGGUCCGGGUAAUCUUUGAAUCUGCAUCGUGACGGGGAUAGAUUAUUGCAAUUAUUAAUCUUCAACGAGGAAUGCCUAGUAGGCGCAAGUCAUCAGCUUGCGUCGAUUACGUCCCUGCCCUUUGUACACACCGCCCGUCGCUCCUACCGAUUGAGUGGUCCGGUGAGGCUUUGGGAUCUGAGCGGGAAGAGCGUUUCGCUGUUUCUGCUCGGAAAACUCAGUCGAACCUUAUCAUUUAGAGGAAGGAGAAGUCGUAACA